rnacentral:lncRNA from 1 species
UGAUGUAUAUGCUGCUGAGAUGAAUUAUCAAGAAUGAUACUGUCUGCUUCAAAGUCUUCUCUGUUUUCAAGUUGUAGUUUCUGCACUUGUAAAGACUUACUCAACACAGUUGAGCAAAUUACUUCUGCUUUUUUAUCUGGGUUUUCUGCAGUUACAGAACUUUUCUUUGGUGUACAAAGUUCAAGUGAUACAGGUACUUUCUUGGACUCUACAUUUUUAGUGGUUUCUUCCUGGUCUUCUCUCCUUAUCUCUUGUGGGCUGUUUUGAGAAGAGCCUUUUUCCUCAUCAUCCGGGGAAGAGAAAAUUGUUGGCACAGCUGUAUGUUUCAAGUAUCUGAUACCCCAUCUCACAUCAAGGGAAUCAGGGGUAAAAUGAUCACUGCACAGAAGCUGGUGCUUACUUGGAGUCCACGCAUCGCGUUUCAUAUUCCGCAACCAUUUCUCAAGUCUCUCUUUAUCAUGAAGCGGAAAUGGGUAGAAGCUGAGCUUGCGCUGAUCCCUGGCGCUCUGCCCGCCGCGGUUCUUGCAGUAGGACGCGGCACAAUACCGCGGCAUGGCGGCGCGGCCGGACGCGGCCCGGAACCAUCCGCGCGGCGGCAGCGGGGGCGCAGGGGGCGGCGGUCACGGGGACAACGGCCACCGCCCCCGCCCCUCGUGCCGAG